rnacentral:lncRNA from 1 species
AUAACGCCUGUAUAACCCUUACGCGAGUAGACCCGGGGAGCGGUGGAUGGUCACCUCCUGACGACUCAUUGUCUGCCAUCGCUGGAUGUUAUAGACUGGAAGCUAUAAAAGUAUUAUGAAAAGUGUAGUUAAAUAUUGCAAUAUGAAUUAUGCCUUCCAAGUGUGUGGAUUUAUCCUUUAUAUGGUCCGUCUGUGUUGGGCCUUAUCCUUUAUAUGGUGCGUCCUCUCCCUUACAGGGCCCCGUAAGGCAUCUUAUAAAUCCUUAAAUUCCUUACGGGAGUCACCGUAACCGGCCUUCGGCCUGUUCGGGGGCGGCCCCGUACGGGGCGCUUCGCGCCCCAAAAUCUUUACGGGAGCCACCGCAAAGUCCUACGGACCCGUACGGGGAUACCGAAAAAAGGCCAAAAACUUACGGGCCCCGUACGGGGUGUCGAACGCUGUAAGGGUGGUUUCCUGUAGGGCUUUGGGUUUUGGGUUUUGGGUUUUGGGUUUUAGGGUUUUGGGAUUUUUGGUUUUUGGUUUGGUUUUAGGGUAUCCAGAUUCCUAGCUUAAGGGUUUCGCGGGUUCCUGGUUUAGGGUUUCACUCUAGGGUUGCGAGGGUUCCUGGUUUAGGGUUUCAAACUCUAGGGUUGCGAGGGUUCCUGGUUUAGGGUUUCAAACUCUAGGGUUGCGAGGGUUCCUGGUUUAGGGUUUCAAACUCUAGGGUUGCGAGGGUUCCUGGUUUAGGGUUGCGGGGGUCCCAGGGUUUAAGGUUUCAGGGUAUCGCGGGGUUUAGGGUUUUAGGGUUUUAGGGUGUUUAGGGUUUUAGGGUUUUAGGGUUUUAGGGUUUUAGGGUUUUAGGGUUUUAGGGUUUUAGGGUUUUAGGGUUUUAGGGUUUUAGGGUUUUAGGGUUUUAGGGUUUUAGGGUUUUAGGGUUUUAGGGGUUUUAGGGUUUUAGGGUUUUAGGGUUUUAGGGUUUUAGGGUUAUUAGGGUUUUUAGGGUUUUAGGGUUUUAGGGUUUUAGGGUUUUAGGGUUUUAGGGUUUUAGGGUUUAGGGUUUAGGGUUUAGGGUUUAGGGUUUUAGGGUUUUAGGGUUUUAGGGUUUUUAGGGUUUUAGGGUUUUAGGGUUUUAGGGUUUUAGGGUUUUAGGGUUUUAGGGUUUUAGGGUUUUAGGGUUUUAGGGUUUUAGGGUUUUAGGGUUUUGGGUUUAGGGUUUUAGGGUUUUAGGGUUUUAGGGUUUAGGGUUUUAGGGUUUUAGGGUUUUAGGGUUUUAGGGUUUUAGGGUUUUAGGGUUUAGGGUUCUAGGAUUU